rnacentral:rRNA from 1 species
AUGCAGUCGAGCGGAUGACGGGAGCUUGCUCCUUGAUUCAGCGGCGGACGGGUGAGUAAUGCCUAGGAAUCUGCCUGGUAGUGGGGGACAACGUUUCGAAAGGAACGCUAAUACCGCAUACGUCCUACGGGAGAAAGCAGGGGACCUUCGGGCCUUGCGCUAUCAGAUGAGCCUAGGUCGGAUUAGCUAGUUGGUGAGGUAAUGGCUCACCAAGGCGACGAUCCGUAACUGGUCUGAGAGGAUGAUCAGUCACACUGGAACUGAGACACGGUCCAGACUCCUACGGGAGGCAGCAGUGGGGAAUAUUGGACAAUGGGCGAAAGCCUGAUCCAGCCAUGCCGCGUGUGUGAAGAAGGUCUUCGGAUUGUAAAGCACUUUAAGUUGGGAGGAAGGGCAGUAAGUUAAUACCUUGCUGUUUUGACGUUACCGACAGAAUAAGCACCGGCUAACUCUGUGCCAGCAGCCGCGGUAAUACAGAGGGUGCAAGCGUUAAUCGGAAUUACUGGGCGUAAAGCGCGCGUAGGUGGUUCGUUAAGUUGGAUGUGAAAGCCCCGGGCUCAACCUGGGAACUGCAUCCAAAACUGGCGAGCUAGAGUACGGUAGA